rnacentral:rRNA from 1 species
GUUCAGCAGCCGCGGUAAUACCGGCAGCCCGAGUGAUGGCCGAUUUCAUUGGGCCUAAAGCGUCCGUAGCUGGCCGCGCAAGUCCAUCGGAAAAUCCACCCGGGCAACGGGUGGGCGUCCGGUGGAGACUGCGUGGCUUGGGACCGGAAGGCGCGACGGGUACGUCCGGGGUAGGAGUGAAAACCCGUAAUCCUGGACGGACCGCCGAUGGCGAAAGCACGUCGCGAGGACGGAUCCGACAGUGAGGGACGAAAGCCAGGGUCUCGAACCGG